GUCGAGCGGAACGAUUCCUAGCUUGCUGGUAGAGUCGAUCGAGCGGCGGACGGGUGAGUAACACUUAGGAAUCUACCUAGUAGUGGGGGAUAGCUCGGGGAAACUCGAAUUAAUACCGCAUACGACCUACGGGAGAAAGGGGGCAACUUGUUGCUCUCGCUAUUAGAUGAGCCUAAGUCGGAUUAGCUAGUUGGUGGGGUAAAGGCCUACCAAGGCGACGAUCUGUAGCUGGUCUGAGAGGAUGAUCAGCCACACCGGGACUGAGACACGGCCCGGACUCCUACGGGAGGCAGCAGUGGGGAAUAUUGGACAAUGGGGGCAACCCUGAUCCAGCCAUGCCGCGUGUGUGAAGAAGGCCUUUUGGUUGUAAAGCACUUUAAGCAGUGAAGAAGACCUAAUGGUUAAUACCCAUUAGCGAUGACAUUAGCUGCAGAAUAAGCACCGGCUAACUCUGUGCCAGCAGCCGCGGUAAUACAGAGGGUGCAAGCGUUAAUCGGAAUUACUGGGCGUAAAGCGAGCGUAGGUGGCUUGAUAAGUCAGAUGUGAAAUCCCCGGGCUUAACCUGGGAACUGCAUCUGAUACUGUUAGGCUAGAAUAGGUGAGAGGAA
rnacentral:rRNA from 1 species